GAUGAACGCUAGCGGCAGGCCUAACACAUGCAAGUCGAGGGGCAGCACAGGUAGCAAUACUGGGUGGCGACCGGCGGAUGGGUGCGUAACGCGUAUGCAACCUACCAUUGAUUGGGGCAUAGCCCGAAGAAAUUCGGAUUAAUACUCCAUAAUAUUCAUCAAAGGCAUCUUUUAUGAAUUAAAGCUUUUGCGAUCAAUGAUGGGCAUGCGUGACAUUAGUUAGUUGGUGAGGUAACGGCUCACCAAAACGAUGAUGUCUAGGGGUUCUGAGAGGAUUAUCCCCCACACUGGUACUGAGACACGGACCAGACUCCUACGGGAGGCAGCAGUGAGGAAUAUUGGUCAAUGGACGCAAGUCUGACCAGCCAUGCCGCGUGCAGGAUGACGGCCCUAUGGGUUGUAAACUGCUUUUCCACGGGAAGAACCCUCCGACGUGUCGGAGACUGACGGUACCGUGGAAUAAGCAUCGGCUAACUCCGUGCC
rnacentral:rRNA from 1 species